CAGCAGCCACGGUAAAACAGAGGGUGCGAGCGUUAAUCGGAUUUACUGGGCGUAAAGCGUGCGUAGGCGGCUUCUUAAGUCGGAUGUGAAAUCCCUGAGCUUAACUUAGGAAUUGCAUUCGAUACUGGGAAGCUAGAGUAUGGGAGAGGAUGGUAGAAUUCCAGGUGUAGCGGUGAAAUGCGUAGAGAUCUGGAGGAAUACCGAUGGCGAAGGCAGCCAUCUGGCCUAAUACUGACGCUGAGGUACGAAAGCAUGGGGAGCAAACAGGAUUAGAUACCCGUGUAGUCCCUGUCUCUUAUAC
rnacentral:rRNA from 1 species